rnacentral:pre_miRNA from 1 species
UCACCUGGGGAUCCUGUGGAAAUGCAUGUCUGGGCUGGGGCUGAGAUUCUGCAUUUCUAGCAAGCUCCCAGGUGGUGC